AGUUUUCUGUAUCCGUGCUGAGAUUUCGUGACACACCAGACUACAAGGGCUGGUGAGACUUCCAAGAUAAGUUGGCCC
rnacentral:pre_miRNA from 1 species